rnacentral:rRNA from 1 species
AUUGAACGCUGGCGGCAGGCCUAACACAUGCAAGUCGAGCGAGCGGCGGACGGGUGAGUAAUGUAUGGGGACUGCCCGAUAGAGGGGGAUCACUACUGGAAACGGUGGCUAAUACCGCAUACUAUCGGAUAACCCAUAUGGGAUUAGCUGGUAGGGGGGGUAAAGGCUCACCUAGGCGACGAUCUCUAGCUGGUCUGAGAGGAUGAUCAGCCAAACUGGGACUGCAACAGGGCCCAGACUCCUACGGAGGAAACGGUGGGAAAGAUUGGACAAGGGGCACAAGCCUGAUGAGGCCAUGCCGCGUAUGUAAGGAGGGCCUUGGGGUUGUAAAGUACUUUCAGCGGGGAGGCGUUACCGGCAGAGGAAGCACCGGCUAACUCCGUGCCAGCCGCCGCGGUAAUAC